rnacentral:rRNA from 1 species
AGCAGCCGCGGUAAUUCCAGCUCCAAUAGCGUAUAUUAAAGUUGUUGCAGUUAAAAAGCUCGUAGUUGAAUUUCGGGAUCAAUAUAUCGGUCGUGCCUCCGGUAUGCACUGGUAUUAUUGAUUUCUACCUUCUGACGAAUCAUGAUGUCAUUAAUUUGGUGUCAUGGGGAAUCAGGACUGUUACUUUGAAAAAUUAGAGUGUUUAAAGCAGGCACACGCUUGAAUACAUUAGCAUGGAAUAAUGAAAUAGGACGUUUGACCCUAUUUUGUUGGUUUCUAGGAUCGACGUAAUGAUUAAUAGGGAUAGUUGGGGGCAUUAGUAUUCAAUUGUCAGAGGUGAAAUUCUUGGAUUUAUUGAAGACUAACUACUGCGAAAGCAUUUGCCAAGGAUGUUUUCAUUAAUCAAGAACGAAAGUUAGGGGAUCGAAGACGAUCAGAUACCGUCGUAGUCUUAACCAUAAACUAUGCCGACUAGGGAUCGGAUGAUGUUAAUUUUAAUGACUCAUUC